CGUAGUUAGACCAAUAGGUUAGAUAUUAUAUGAUAAACUUUUACCAUAAAACCUACCUAAUCUUUCACAGCAUUAGUAUAUGUAUAUAACCACCAGGGGAAGGUAGUUUUUAAUUCAUAAUAAAUACGUACAUAUUUCAUCAAAAUUAACGUGCUCCAGGUAGAAGAAUGCAAGUACCUAAUUCUGAGCCUGUUUCUCUGUAGACUAACUGUAUGAUACAAAGUUGAAGCUGUGAUGUAACCAUGGAUUUAUCAAAGAUGAAAGUUGAACCCUUUUCUGAAAAGGAGCAGAAGAACCUAUUGGACAUCAAAUUGAUGAAAAAUGAAGAUGAAACUCCUACAUUAUCUAGUGUAGAAGCUGAUUCUUUA